GAGCGGCCGUAGCAAUACGGCAGCGGCAGACGGGAGAGUAACACGUGGGAACGUACCCUUCGGUUCGGAAUAACUCAGGGAAACUUGAGCUAAUACCGGAUACGUCCGUAAGGAGAAAGAUUUAUCGCCGAAGGAUCGGCCCGCGUCCGAUUAGCUAGUUGGUGGGGUAAUGGCCCACCAAGGCGACGAUCGGUAGCUGGUCUGAGAGGAUGAUCAGCCUCACUGGGACUGAGACACGGCCCAGACUCCUACGGGAGGCAGCAGUGGGGAAUAUUGGACAAUGGGCGCAAGCCUGAUCCAGCCAUGCCGCGUGGGUGAUGAAGGCCCUAGGGUUGUAAAGCCCUUUCGGCGGGGAAGAUAAUGACGGUACCCGCAGAAGAAGCCCCGGCUAACUUCGUG
rnacentral:rRNA from 1 species